CAGUCGCCACGGGAAUACGUAGGUGGCAAGCGUUGUCCGGAAUUAUCGGGCGUAAAGCGCGCGCAGGUGGUUUAAUAAGUCUGAUGUGAAAGCCCACGGCUCAACCGUGGAGGGUCAUUGGAAACUGUUAAACUUGAGUGCAGGAGAGAAAAGUGGAAUUCCUAGUGUAGCGGUGAAAUGCGUAGAGAUUAGGAGGAACACCAGUGGCGAAGGCGGCUUUUUGGCCUGUAACUGACACUGAGGCGCGAAAGCGUGGGGAGCAAACAGGAUUAGAGACCCCCGUAGUCCCUGUCUCUUAUAC
rnacentral:rRNA from 1 species